AUUGUUUUCCGGCACUGGAGUUUCCCUUUAAUGUGUGUAAAUGUCCGUCAGUUAUUCACUAUCUGGACGAUUUACUCACGAUUGAGAACAACACACUCCCCCCCAAGUAGUUUGAAACACAUGUUGGCUCUGUUUGAAUCCCUCACCAUCCCAGUCUCCCCUCACAAGACUCUGGAUCCAGACACCAGCAUGCAAUUUUUGGGGAUCCAACUAGACACGAUACAGAUGCAGGCUAGCCUCCCUCAGGAAAAGAUUGAGCGUACCCUGGCAAGCAUUGAACACUACCUUCUACAAGGUUAUUGCAACCAAAAGGAACUGCAAUCACUGCUGGCGUCGCUCAAUUUUUCCAUUAGGAUUAUACCACAGGGUAGAUCCUUUAUUUCGCUCCUGCUAUCUCUAUUUCCACAAUUCACCUGAGACAAUUCCAAUUCACGCAUCACUUUAGAUGGUCACGCAACCUCUGAUUUACACAUGGGGGGGGAGAGGGGUUCUCACCUCUUGGAACGGGCGAGCCAUGUUUAUACCAUCCCCCCUCCGACACUUCGCCUACACUGUGGACAGAUGCUGCAUCAAAAACUGGCUUUGCGGCCAUCUGGGGAGAUCAAUGGCUUUGUGGACCAUGGCCGACCGAAGUUGAAUCACUGCUCAACUUUGCUGCUACCUCAGAUUUAUUUGAGUUGUACCCAAUCGUGGCGGCGGCCAUUGUCUGGGGACUACAUUGGUCUGGUCACAUGGUUAGUUGUUACUUUGAUCUGGCCACAUGCCAUAUUGUCAAUAAAGGCCAUUCUGCAUCCCUGGUAAUCAUGAGACUCACAGGGUAGCAGCCACCUGUCAAUUCUUUAUCACAUAUAUCCACGUUCCGGGGUACACAAACACCUCUGCUGAUCACUUGUUUCAUUUUCAGGCUUUCUUGACACUACCCACUGCUUCCAGACUGCGACACCUGCCCCACUAUUUCAAGACAUGAUAAUGGAUUGAAGGCUUUGUUAAAUCACGCACGUCACAUUUCACAUAUGAUAGGGCCUUUCACGUAUUCACAAAAUUUAUAACAGAAUUGUACAUCCACAACAUUUUUCCUUUAGAAUCGAUAUUGGGUUUCACUUAAUUUUGCCACAUCAACCUUAAAUUAUCCUUCAAUACUAUAAAGCUAUACCUUACAGGCAUCCAGCACCACAUGCUUAUUUGACAACCCCACGCUACAGGUUUCCUGACUUCAUACCAAAUUAAAACAGUACUUAAAGGCAUUAAAAAUUAGACACACACGUUCCCUCACAAAGAUUACCCAUAGACAACAACAUUUUCCAAUCACUAACCAAUUUAUUAGAUUAUUCUCCUUUUGAACCCAUAACUAAUACCGUUAUAAAGACAGCCCUAUAUUUAGCUUUUUAUGGGUUUCUCCGUCCCACUGAAUUUACGACUAGGACCAUUACAGCCCUGGACUACCUGAGAACGAGUGACUUAAACAGACAUAGCGACCAUUACAUGCUAUUCUUAAGACGAUCCUAAACCACCUCCCUAGGACAUACUAUUAAAAUCCCCUUGUAUCCUACUCCUAACAAGUGGUACCCAGUACAAGUUUUGGACACCUUUUUUCUUUCAGCCCAGAAACAACCACAACAACCUUUGCUUCAACUGCAUGGAUACACUCUGACCACAGCAAAAUUCAUGCUUUACGUUCGACUACUGUUGACUAGGCUCGGCCUAAACCCCAAUAACUUUUCAGGUCACUCUUUCCGUAUAGGAGCAGCAUCUUCAGCAUCCGCUAAUCACAUACCCGCUCAUAUUAUCAAGGCUAUGGGAUGCUGGAAAUCCUCUGCCUACAUACCUAAUCCAGUUAAAGAAUUAAGACAAGCUUUUUGUGACUUAUCCAAAUAAAUGAAGUUGGUUACACAAAUCAAGGUUUAUGGUAUUUUCUUUUUGCCCACUUUUUAUUACAGGACUACUGCUGUGUCGGUUCCGGGACACAACACAACCGACUGGUGCAAACUCAUUGAAGUUAUGGUUAUAAUAUGCUAGAUUUCUAUGUACUGCUAUAUUGCCGCGACUACAAAUUUGAAGGCUUGGCCUGUAGUUGUGGGAGGGGCUUGGAUCCCCUUUAAAAAGGCUGACAAUCCUCUCUCACCUUACCGUUGCUGGUCUGGCGAGCCAC
rnacentral:lncRNA from 1 species